rnacentral:rRNA from 1 species
GACGAACGCUGGCGGCGUGCCUAAUACAUGCAAGUCGAGCGCUGAAGGCUGGUACUUGUACCAACUGGAUGAGCAGCGAACGGGUGAGUAACGCGUGGGGAAUCUGCCUUUGAUUGGGGGACAACAUCUGGAAACGAAUGCUAAUACCGCAUAAAAACUUUAAACACAAGUUUUAAGUUUGAAACAUGCAAUUGCAUCACUCAAAGACGAUCCCGCGUUGUAUUAGUUAGUUGGUGAGGUAAAGGCUCACCAAGGCGAUGAUACAUAGCCGAGAUGAGAGGGUGGACGGCCAAAUUGGGACUGGGACCCGGCCCAAGCGCCUACGGGAGGGAGCAGGAGGGGAACUUUGGCAAUGGGGGGAAGGCUUGACGAACAACGCCGGGGGGGUGAAGAAGGGUUUCGGGUCGUAAAACUCUGUUGGUAGGGAAGAAAGUUGGUGAGAGUGGAAAGCUGAUGAAGUGACGGUAACUACCCAGAAAGCAACGGCUAACUACGUG